rnacentral:rRNA from 1 species
AGUGAACGCUGGCGGUAGGCCUAACACAUGCAAGUCGAACGGCAGCACAGUAAGAGCUUGCUCUUACGGGUGGCGAGUGGCGGACGGGUGAGGAAUACAUCGGAAUCUACUUUUUCGUGGGGGAUAACGUAGGGAAACUUACGCUAAUACCGCAUACGACCUACGGGUGAAAGCAGGGGAUCUUCGGACCUUGCGCGAUUGAAUGAGCCGAUGUCGGAUUAGCUAGUUGGCGGGGUAAAGGCCCACCAAGGCGACGAUCCGUAGCUGGUCUGAGAGGAUGAUCAGCCACACUGGAACUGAGACACGGUCCAGACGCCUACGGGAGGUAGCAGUGGGGAAUAUUGGACAAUGGGCGCAAGCCUGAUCCAGCCAUACCGCGUGGGUGAAGAAGGCCUUCGGGUUGUAAAGCCCUUUUGUUGGGAAAGAAAAGCAGCAGGUUAAUACCCCGCUGUUCUGACGGUACCCAAAGAAUAAGCACCGGCUAACUUCGUG